rnacentral:rRNA from 1 species
GACGAACGCUGGCGGCGUGCUUAACACAUGCAAGUCGAACGGAAAGGCCCUGCUUUUGUGGGGUGCUCGAGUGGCGAACGGGUGAGUAACACGUGAGUAACCUGCCCUUGACUUUGGGAUAACUUCAGGAAACUGGGGCUAAUACCGGAUAGGAGCUCCUGCUGCAUGGUGGGGGUUGGAAAGUUUCGGCGGUUGGGGAUGGACUCGCGGCUUAUCAGCUUGUUGGUGGGGUAGUGGCUUACCAAGGCUUUGACGGGUAGCCGACCUGAGAGGGUGACCGGCCACAUUGGGACUGAGAUACGGCCCAGACUCCUACGGGAGGCAGCAGUGGGGAAUAUUGCACAAUGGGCGGAAGCCUGAUGCAGCAACGCCGCGUGCGGGAUGACGGCCUUCGGGUUGUAAACCGCUUUCGCCUGUGACGAAGCGUGAGUGACGGUGAUGGGUAAAGAAGCACCGGCUAACUACGUG